UACGAAGGGGGCUAGCGUUGUUCGGAAUUGCUGGGCGUAAAGCGUGCGCAGGCGGCUUCUCAAGUCAGGGGUGAAAGCCCAGAGCUCAACUCUGGAAUUGCCUUUGAGACUGAGUGGCUUGAGUACGGGAGAGGUGAGUGGAAUUCCCAGUGUAGAGGUGAAAUUCGUAGAUAUUGGGAAGAACACCGGUGGCGAAGGCGGCUCACUGGCCCGUAACUGACGCUCAUGCACGACAGCGUGGGGAGCAAACAGG
rnacentral:rRNA from 1 species